rnacentral:rRNA from 1 species
GACGAACGCUGGCGGCGUGCUUAACCCAUGCAAGUCGAACGAGUGGCGAACGGAUGAGUAAUACGUGGGUAACCUGCCCUCCUUUUUGGGAUAAGCCUUGGAAACGGGGUCUAAUACCGAAUAGUGAGGGAUGGGGUAGCGGCCUAUCAGCUUGUUGGUGGGGUGAUGGCUACCAAGGCGUGACGGGUACCCGGCCUGAGAGGGUGACCGGCCAGAUUGGGACUGAGAUACGGCCCAGACUCCUACGGGAGGCAGCAGUGGGGGAUAGUACACAAUGGGCGAAAGCCUGAUGCAGCAACGCCGGGUGAAGGAAGACGGUCUUCGGAUUGUAAACUUCUUUAGACAGGGACGCGGUACCUGUAGAAUAAGCCACGGCUAACUACGUGCCAGCAGCCGCGGUAAUUC